ACUUGAUGACCCUGGAUGCAAAGAGUUAACAGAGAUAUGGCAUGAACAUGUAUUAGAAAAAUGAUUCACACACAAUAGAAAAAAUAAUUAAGACCAGGAUUGGGUGGCUUUGGAGAAUGUAAUUUCAGCUUGAAUAUGAAGAUGCUUGUAGAACAGUGUUCCUUCCUCUGAACAUGGCUACAGAAGAACAAAUCAGUUAGUCUGAAGAUGAAAACAAGAAGCUGCUGGUAGACACAUUCUGAACUGGCUAACACAACACUCUGAAACUGGAGGAUAUCAACUGAUAAGAUAUGAAGUUCUCCCUCAGUUUCAAAUACACUGGGUUCAUAAAUUAUUGACAUAAACAAUAGAUGUCCCAUCAAGCUACCAUGAAGAUAGCUAGGUCUGCACAACUCCUCAAGUGUCGACCCCUCCAAGCACAUCCUCCACCUGGAAUUGUGAA
rnacentral:lncRNA from 1 species